rnacentral:rRNA from 1 species
UACGAAGGGGGCUAGCGUUGCUCGGAAUCACUGGGCGUAAAGCGCACGUAGGCGGAUUGUUAAGUCAGGGGUGAAAUCCUGGAGCUCAACUCCAGAACUGCCUUUGAUACUGGCGAUCUUGAGUCCGGGAGAGGUGAGUGGAACUGCGAGUGUAGAGGUGAAAUUCGUAGAUAUUCGCAAGAACACCCGUGGCGAAGGCGGCUUCCUGGGCCGCGCCUGA